rnacentral:rRNA from 1 species
AGAGCGAACGCUGGCGGCAGGCCUAAUACAUGCAAGUCGAACGGAUCCUUCGGGAUUAGUGGCGGACGGGUGAGUAACACGUGGGAACGUGCCCUUUGGUUCGGAACAACUCAGGGAAACUUGAGCUAAUACCGAAUGUGCCCUUCGGGGGAAAGAUUUAUCGCCAUUGGAGCGGCCCGCGUCUGAUUAGUUAGUUGGUGAGGUAAAGGCUCACCAAGGCGACGAUCAGUAGCUGGUCUGAGAGGAUGAUCAGCCACACUGGGACUGAGACACGGCCCAGACUCCUACGGGAGGCAGCAGUAGGGAAUCUUGCGCAAUGGGCGAAAGCCUGACGCAGCCAUGCCGCGUGAAUGAUGAAGGUCUUAGGAUUGUAAAAUUCUUUCAGUCGGGACGAUAAUGACGGUACCCGCAGAAGAACGCCCGGCUAACUUCGUGCCAGCAGCCGC